rnacentral:lncRNA from 1 species
AAGCGUAUGUGCGUGUCAGAUUAUGUAUGGGACACACUUCCCCUGAGAAGUUAUUCUCUUGGUCUGAAGUUCAAGUUUGGGGGCCAUGUUGUGUUUUUCCUCCUCACGUUGGCCACCCUGUUCAUCGGUGCCCGAGGACGGACAGCAGCUCCUCCCUCAGGACGAAGAGCGACCACCACCCCAGGCCGGGGCUGGGUGAGGUCAGCCUUUUUCCAGGGUAAUUUACUGGAGUCCUUCAUUUCUCUCUGUGCCUGCAGGGGCAGGCAGCUCCCGCUUGUCCGAGGCUUAGGAGGUUCCAGCCAUCUUGGAGGCAUCAUUCUGACCUUCACAGGGACCAGGGUCAAGACAGCUGCAAGAAGGAAAAGGAGUUUCCGAAGCGCAAUGGGAAACCCUGAACAGAUUGUCAGCAGAAGCCCAAGGUCACCUGAGGUAAGCUGUGGCUGAUUCAAUAUUCCUGGCACAGUUUGUCAGCUGACUUAGUGUGGGGUGGGGUGAGUGAAGCCAGUGAGAAUUUCUCGUCAGUGCACCUGCGAGUUCACGCCGGACAUCGGGACGGGGCGGUCCUGACCAAGACCACGGUCCUCCUUGGGGUGAGGGAAGUGUCCGACCUCCGGAACCUGUCCCAAUUGUCCCCUCAGGCAGAACUUUCCGCUCCGCCUGACAGCGCUUUCCAAGCCUGUCCCUUACCCGGCCGCUGCUCCGUCUGUCUCGGUGAGUGGUGCCGCCUGCAGGUCCCCAACAGGAGUCAUGUCAGUGUCUGGCUGUGGACGAAGCCCUAGGCUGUCUGCCCCCUUUCCAUUUUCUCGCUUGUGUUAUGCACUGCUGUCCUUGCUCUCUUAACCCAGUCACACUGAUCUCCUUUCUUUUCCUUGGAUAAAAGCAGCUUGUGGUGGCCUCUGGGUCUUUGCACACCCUUCCCCUUCUCCAGAAACACUCUUGGCCCAACCCUUUGCCUGGCUGCCUCCUCUCACCUCUCAGGCCUUAGCUCCAGUCUUACUGGUCCAGAGGAUGCCAGUUCUACCACGAAAGAUGCCCUCCUCUCUCUCCCAAGUCCCACAGUGUCAUCUCUGCUUCACUGUCUGCCUGACACUCCUCAUUUUGAGGCAGAUCCCCAGAAGGAAACUGGUGGGAAAGUAGGAGGAAAGGUUAGUGAGCGGAGCCAUGUUGGGGACCCUUGUCAGACCCUGGUGACUCAGGACAGUUCAGCUCUGUAGCUGUACGAGAGGGGCAGGGUGAGAGGAGUGAGCUGUGAGCUUCCCCAACCUGCAGCAGACCGGAGAAGCUGGGCAGGAUGGGCGGCUCGGAUGUCAGGAGGGCAGGAGAUGUCACCACUGAGCAGGAGACAGUGUCCACAGCCACCUGGAGGUGAUGACACUUGAGCCCCAGGAAAGCCCAGACUCCACUGGGAGGAGUCUGAUGGGAGUGGCAAUUCUCCAACCACAUGGGGUGGAGUCGGAGAAGUUCUGUUUGUCCCGUUGUUGUGGUUGGUGGGCAUGUCAACUUCACUGGCUUUGGCAUUCGCCCAGGGGACUGGGGAAGAACACUCCUGAGUGUGCCUGGGUGGAUCAUGGAAGUGUGACCUCGGGGCUUAUGUCUGGUCCCUGCCUCUUCCUCUCUUCCCGUGCCUGCUUCUGCCCACCGUAGGCUGAGCAUCCUUGCUUCACCUCAACCUUCCACCGUGAUGCGCCUGCCUUGGAACUGGCCAGCCACAGACUGAAUCCCUUUAAAACGUAAGCCAAAUUAAAACUUUCUCUUUAAGUUAUGGGUGUUGGGCAUUGUGUCUCAGUGCCUCAGGGAAAGAUGACUAAUGUACCAGUGCAAGGUAGUGGGGAGAAUGUAGCUAAAAUUGUAAAUCCUUUUCUUCAAAGGAUGUGGGGUACAGGUCAGAGAUUAAAAAAUGUUGAUUCCUCUCACAGGACACCUUUGUGGGUAGUUGUGAGGGCAGCUCUUAGCCAAGGAGGGACUUUCAGGCUAAGAGUCUUCUAGCUCUGGGUGUGUUGGGUACGUGGGCAGCGUGGGGAAGAAUCUUUACUUCAGCCAGGGCGUAGCUAGAUGCUUUGACCCAGACAGUCCUUCAGGAGAAACUUCUCUCCCUAGUUUCACAUUUCCAUGAGAAAGUGGGCGGGGGAGAACUUCACCCCACUUGCCAGUGGUGGACGUAAUGCACUGUACUUCUGUGUUCUGCUCACUGAAUCAUCCUACAAGGGCUAGAGCACUCUAAUGUGAUGACCACGCUGGGAGAGAGAACUGAAUAUGCAUGCUCACCCCUCUCUUUCCUAUCAAGAUGACCUGUCUGCAGGACACAGGUGUUCUCCCAGCUUCUCAGGUCAUGCACUGAAGGCCAUAGCAUUUCAUGUGCUCAGAGGGAGCAGAUGGUGCCACCUAGGGUUGAGCAGGAAGCACGGCCCGGAUUGUCCUCCAAUUCCAGCCCCAUAGGGUAGGACCCUGAGGGUCCGAGCACAAGGCAGACUGCACAGAUGAAUCUGAAAGGCUAUCUCUUGCUCUCCCAGUACAGGGCUCUGGAGUCCCCAUGAUGUGCAUGUCCUCACCCACCCCUGGAACCUCUGAGCAUGUGAUUUUAGGUGACUAAAGGGGCUUCCCAGGCGUGAUCAAGGGUCUUGGGGUGGGAAGCUCCAAAAAACCUGUCGUCCUUUAAGUUGUGGUGUCAAGUGUUGUGUCUCAGCGAUGAAGAAAGUGACAGAGAUGGGGGUGAUUAACUUGUUGGGCCAAUGCAAUCACAAGGUCCUCAUUAGAGGGAAGGCCAUGUGACAGAGAAAGCAGAGGGACAUCGAGAUGCUGGGCUGCUGGCUCUGAAGGUGGAAGAGGGGCCCCAUGCCAAGGAAGGCAGAAAAAAUAUCCCCUAGCAUUUCCAAGAGAAAACCCAGCCCUCAGUACCAUGGUUUCAGUCCAGUGACACAUGCGUUGGAUAUCUGAGGCCCACGCCUGGAAGAUGCUGAGUUUGGGUUUCUUUAAACCACUCCAGUCGUGGUAUUUUGUUGCAGCAACCAUAGGAAGCUAGUAGACUCACCAGGCAGCAUUCCCAUUCCUGUUGCUGUAGUGACCGGCUCUUCUUCAUGGGGUGUGGGUUAGGGUUAGAUUUGGGGUAUCCCCCAAAGCCUCACGUGUGGGGAAAGUGAUUGGCUCAGUGGAUCAGCCCACGCUGUCAGGAGCCGGGGCCUGGCUGGAGGGGCCACGUGGCGUGGCGUGGAGGGUUUAUCUCCUUCCACAACUCCUCCUUACCAUCGCUCCUUCUGGCCACUGUGCUGUCAUCAGCUCUUCUCCACCAGGCCCUUUCACCUUGCGAUUUCUCCUUUGGAAUCUCCCCACCAUGGACGGAAACUUCUGAAACUCUGAGUUCAAAUAAACCUGUCCUCCUUUAAGUUGUGGCGUCAAGUGUUGUGCCUCAGCGAUGAGAAAAGUGACGAAGAUGUGCUGAUUGCCAAGCUCUGGGCUUGGCUUUUCCAGGACAGUGGCCACUAGCCAUAUGGCGAUGUGUAAGUGAAAAUAAAUUUUAAUACAUUGCACUUUUUUCAUGGUGGUGAAGUUUUACAUUUAUUAAAGGUAGGAGAAAAAUAGGUUCUGCAGAGUGAGUUUGGGCCAAGUAAAAGUAGGAAAAAGAAGUG